GAAGGCCUUCGGGUUGUAAACCGCUUUUGUACGGAACGAAACGGUCUGCUCUAAUAAAGUGGGCUAAUGACGGUACCGUAAGAAUAAGCACCGGCUAACUACGUGCCAGCAGCCGCGGUAAUACGUAGGGUGCGAGCGUUAAUCGGAAUUACUGGGCGUAAAGCGUGCGCAGGCGGUUAUAUAAGACAGUUGUGAAAUCCCCGGGCUCAACCUGGGAAUUGCAUCUGUGACUGUAUAGCUAGAGUACGGUAGAGGGGGAUGGAAUUCCGCGUGUAGCAGUGAAAUGCGUAGAUAUGCGGAGGAACACCGAUGGCGAAGGCAAUCCCCUGGACCUGUACUGACGCUCAUGCACGAAAGCGUGGGGAGCAAACAGGAUUAGAUACCCUGGUAGUCCACGCCCUAAACGAUGUCAACUGGUUGUUGGGUGCAUUAGUACUCAGUAACGAAGCUAACGCGUGAAGUUGACCGCCUGGGGAGUACGGCCGCAAGGUUGAAACUCAAA
rnacentral:rRNA from 1 species